rnacentral:rRNA from 1 species
CCUACGGGAGGCUGCAGUGGGGAAUAUUGCACAAUGGGCGCAAGCCUGAUGCAGCCAUGCCGCGUGUGUGAAGAAGGCCUUCGGGUUGUAAAGCACUUUCAGCGGGGAGGAAGGCGGUGAGGUUAAUAACCUCAUCGAUUGACGUUACCCGCAGAAGAAGCACCGGCUAACUCCGUGCCAGCAGCCGCGGUAAUACGGAGGGUGCAAGCGUUAAUCGGAAUUACUGGGCGUAAAGCGCACGCAGGCGGUCUGUCAAGUCGGAUGUGAAAUCCCCGGGCUCAACCUGGGAACUGCAUUCGAAACUGGCAGGCUAGAGUCUUGUAGAGGGGGGUAGAAUUCCAGGUGUAGCGGUGAAAUGCGUAGAGAUCUGGAGGAAUACCGGUGGCGAAGGCGGCCCCCUGGUCAAAGACUGACGCUCAGGUGCGAAAGCGUGGGGAGCAAACAGGAUUAGAUACCCUAGUAGUC